rnacentral:snRNA from 1 species
AAAUGUUAGCUCUGUUAUUUCUGUCACCACUCUGAGUCCCAUGGUUGGUUCGACUAAUCUGACUAGCUAGACAAGCAUCCACUUCCUCCCUCACCACUCUAUGUGUGUCCCCCCUUAGCCAGCAGAGAAGGGCAGUUCUUUGGUUAAGAUCAUAAAAAUAACUGGAAAUCCCCUGCUAAAACCUCCAGACAAGUUUCUAAGGUCCAUCCGAAGCACGCAGGGUAGUGACAGGCCUAAGUCUCUGGGCACGUGUAAAUGAUGUCUAUGUGGUCUCUCU